ACCCACAACAAAACACAAGAAGAAAACCACAUGACAACACUGGCUAUAUACAUAACCAAAUCAAAAUCAAGACAUUAUCUCUUUUUGAAACGAAAGUUGCAUAUACAUAUCAAGGGAUAGCGAAUAUUCAAAUAAAUGUUAGGAAAAUAUAAACAAAUACCCAUUGUGAUUUCCCACAAAAGUAUACUGUCUUUCUUGCUGUAUGACAUGGUAAUUGCUCACAUAAUAUGGUUUGAAAUGAAAAGUAAGAUAUAUGAUUACACUUUCAAAAGUAAAGGGUGCAGUAAUUGUCUUAUUGUAUGAGUUUUUGAGUGCUCUAAUGAAAAUGUAACAAGCUUUAAUAUUUGUGAUGUUUUUUUUUUGAGAAAUGGCAUAAGAAUCAGAUCAUCAAAGAAUAAAAUUUGUGAUGCUUGUUAAAAUGGUAUUAGUUCUUAUUUGAAGAAGUUUCAUUUAUAUGUCUGUUUAAUCUUCUGAAUUCCUUCAGUACGUAAUCUAAUCUUAUCACAAAAUUUUCAGGUAUAAUUCAAAUUAGUAUUGAGUUGUAUAUAUAUGAAUUAAACAUAUAUUUUAGUUUAAUGAUUUUAAUUUGAAUGAUUAAUCUAUUAUAUAUUAAAUACUUUUAAAUGAUCAUAUAUAAUGAUAAAAACUGUUAUAUGUAAUGUAAUAUUACUAUAUAAACAUAAUUUGAUGGGAUGACUGCAUAUUCCCCUCUGUAGAACCUAAACCCUAUAUAAACUCAUCCGUCUACAACUCGCCGUUACGGUGAAUUAAUAUCUACCCCCUCUAAAUCAUUCAAUCCUAUUUUUUACCCAUUUAUUUGUGAGAUAUGUUAUCAUUCCACCUUCCUUUGUUUCUCCUCCUAUAAAAUUCCCUUUGUAAAUCGUACUUUCAACCAAAAUCUAAAACUUAUGUGGAAGAAUAUAAAUAUAUGGCUAUGAAAUCUGUUUGAUCCUCCGGCGAGUCUCCACUGCUCAAUUUAUCGUCAGACAUGUGAACAUUAUUGGUUCUAUAAAUUCAGGUUAUAUAUGAUGAACAAAUAGAGUCCCGAUGGAAAUUCCAAUGAUUCUCGACGUUUGAAUCACCACAAACAGACUACGUACUAAUCUGAAACAAUGUUGUUGUGUUUGUUUCUUGGUGUCAUUGUUGGGUUCUGUUUGGCCGCUAGAAAGAAAGAGAGUUUUUGGGUGAAUAAUGGAGCGGUCCAGUCGCACCAAUGAAGAAGUUAUCCUUCAGACCCAUAACUUGAGUGGAUCACUCCUGGAAUCCUAUCGAAGGAAACGUUGAGUGAUGGACUGAUGGGUUCCUGCACUUCUUCUCUCUUUCCCCUGUCAUUAUUGAUUUUGUGGGUGCGAUUAGCUUUUUGAGAGAAUUAUUUACCAAAAUGUGGUAUUUGUACUUUGAUUGUGGCUGUUAGGGUUGCGGGGCGGAGGAAGUGAAUCGUACCCUGAGCGACCUGAUUAGCCCUUCGUCUUUUCAUUAUCGGCAAAACAACCUAACGUAAUCAAGGAUUUCAAGAAGCAGUCUGCACAAUGGACAUGAUGAUAUGAUGUCAGAGGAAAUUGAUGAAACACUUGACAAAGGCAAAUCUGACUGAAGAUCCCACUGACCAGCAUUGUAAAUGUCUCAACUUGGUGUCAAGGACGGAGAGAGAGUGCUUAUACGGGAAUCUUGUAACCUUACCAAGUGAGAGAGAGAGUGAUCAAAGGUCGGGUGAUAACUCUCAACAUAGCUGACUUUGUUCACAUAACCUUACCAAGUGAGUUUGGUCAGUAGAGAUUCCAGUAUCAUUUUGUCUGUGUGUACGGAUUGUUCGCAUACAAAAUGUUAGAAUUUCUACACAAUGACAGAAUAAUAUUGGAGUCUCCACUGACACCUUUGUGUAUGCCAUAUUCUUUCCCUUUCUGCUUGAAUCAAAUUAGUUAGCUAUCAAAUUGAUCUCAGCCAAAAAUAAAAUAAAACAUGGUCCACAUUCGGGUGCAAGGAAAGUAGAGUAAAGGAUCAAUAAUUGGCGAAAGAGGAUGUAAACCCUUCAUUACGAGACGGAGAGGUUAGAUCCGAAGAAGUUUUAAACUGAGAUUAAGAUUCAAUCCUUGAUAUAUUUAAGAAACAAUGUUUGCUAACAUAGACACAGACAACAGUGAACAAUCACAUAUGAAGAACUGAAGUAAGGGCUAUCCAAAUUUGGAUCUAGACUCACAGAGGCAGAAGUGAAGCAGCUCAUGAAUGCUGUAAGUUGGGUGAAACUAAUUUUCUAUUCCCUUAUUUUGCUAUAAAAACACAUGUGUCCAGGUAAUUGUGAUUUUGGCUUAUGUUGACAGGGACGGGCUAAUCUGACUGCAGCGAGUUCAUUACUACAACAUUGCUUGAAAGUAUUGAGAAUCUUCACAAAGACUUCCAGAAUUUGACAAAGACAGUAACGGGUAAACAACACAUUUCUUCUCGGCUCUUUCCUUCUUUACCGUCAUAUAAAUAAGUACGAUUCUAAAACCUUUGCUUUUGAUCAAAGCUUUUGUGCAGAUACAUUUCAAUAGACGAAUAAGAAGCUGUGUUGGAGGACUAUGGAAUGGAAAAUGAUGCAACAAUCAAAGAGGUUCCCUCAGAUGACAAUUCAUAUAAAGUGAGCUUAAAAAAAUUUCAUCGUCAUCUAUGGGUGUCGUUUUUGAUCAAUGUCUUUCUCCAGUUAAGACAAGUGCUUCUCACGGCAGAGCUUCACUUUGAUUGAAGGGGUAUUAUCCUUCACUUUUUUUUAUUUCUAUGCUCUCUUGAUGUAUCACAUACUUCUCAUGUUAUAUGUCUUUAAUAUAGCAUCUGCAGUCUCUAUAACACUAUGGACGACCAGUAUGCUCAUUUUGAACUAUGCAUGACAUCUCUUACAUGGGCUGUUAACAGAAGGUUACUGAAAUGCUGAGAGAAUAGAAUGACUCAAUGAAUUCAAGACGGAUAUUGAACUCCUCACAAGAAUACACAAACACUUGGUGUAUUUGAUAAAAAAAUUAUAAUUAAUUUUUAUUUGUGUGUGUUGUCGUAUUAUUUACAGAAAAUGAAAAGUUAUACGUAGGAAAACAAUUAUUUUUAAAUGUUAAUCUCUGAUUCAGAAACUAUUGAUUGAUGCUAGGAGUUAGGAGAAAAAAGACAAGGAAUUAAAAGAUAUUUACGUUUCGGUUUUUGGGUU